UGCAACAGAAAUAAAGCCAUAUAAGACUCACCGCCUGCUCAGAGCGUUGACUCAGUAUAUAACGGGAACCUGUCAUUCCGAAAAUAAUUUCCAAUUGAACGAGACGCAAUGUUGCUAGAAUUGUUGAAGUGUUAUUUAAGUGAUAGUGACCACGAAGACGAAAUCCUGGUGCCUGAAUCAAAUGGAGAUUCCCACAAGAUUCCACAUCAGGCAGAACCUACUCUUCAGGAUGGACACCUUGAUGAAUCGUCUAAAAGGCUAGCCAAUGCGGAUCCAUCGCCCAACUUCGAUGCAGUUCACUCGAAGAGCGGCAUGCAGCUUCAGAUGGCUCCGAGGACGAGGAUCUCUUAGUCGACUCAGGUGGAAAUUUCACCAAUCCAAGUGCUGAGAAAAAACGGAAGCGAACUACACGGUUGUUUGCGAUUACCCUUUAAUGGGUGAAAAAAUACCCAUUUCCGUUAAAAGUGCCUCUACCCAUUUAAUGGGUAAACCCUGUUUACUCAUUAACGGGUAAAGGCAGUUUAUGUCAAAGGAUGGGUAUUUUUUUACCCGCUUUGUAAAUCGUGCUCGCGACGUAAAAAGGGUAAAAAUUUACCCUUUUUGUGAAUGGUAGAUAAGGACAUUUAUAAUUUCAUCAAUUAUUACGACUCUUGAAAGAAAUUAUCGGAAAAUGCAGUUUUAUUUGUAAAAAUCAUUGUUAUAUAAACUUUAUUAAUAAAUACAUACACACAUAGUGUUAUUACACUAAUCAGUUAUGUAUUCCCUUGGAGGACAGAUGCGUGCGGCAGGAGCAACGGAACCAUCUGAAAAUUAUUAGUGUUGAUUAUAAUCAGUUUUUUCUAAAUAACGCUUAGUAUUUGAGGUCACAACUUACCACUUAUUUAAAUGUUCCAUCGGGAAAUACGUUGCAUGCAAAAAGUAACAUCAAUACGAGUUGAAUUAUUUAAAAACUCCGAAACUGCGCACAGCUGCAGGUGAUGUCAGCCAACUACUUUUUCACCCAUAAAUGGGUUUAAAAUCACCCGUUUUUUAACAGCCAUUGCUUCUUGAAAAUGGGUAUUUAUUUACCCGUUUUUCAUAUAUGAAUUUACCCGUUUUCUGACAGAUCCGGUCGCUAUUCGACAAAGAGUAUUUUUUCACCCAUUAAAGGGUAUUCGCAAACAACCGUGUAAAAAAACAAACACAAAGGAUGGCAGCAAAGAAACGUGGACUUCUGCCUCCAGUCAUUUUUGAUAACUGUAGAUGUGCAAGAGGAUGCUCAAAAACUGUCUCUGAAGACGACAGAAAGGAUACGAACAAUUUUUAUUGGAACCUGGGUGCUAAUGCUCAAGUUGGAUAUAUCCGUGAAACGGUUAAAUGCGGGUAUAUAAAACAGCGAGCAAUUCAGAAGCAUGGCGAGAGUGGUCCGCGUAAGAAGAACGCAUAUGAAUAUUACCUUCGAACCACUCUCGUAAUUCGUGAAAAAAUCUGCCGCAAUUUUUAUUUGAACACCUUAGGUUACACCAAGCAUAGCGGCAACAUGCUCUACCGCCUCGUAGAUGGAGAUACAUUGAAUCUAGUCGUGGGAAAUAUCCAAGAGAUUCUUCGAAACGUGACGCGAUUGGAGCGCAUAUCCUUACGAAUGGGAAUUAGGGGCAUAAUGGACACGUUUAGCAAAUAUUCGUUUUAAUACUAUAAAAUGGCAAUGUUUUAAAUAUACCGUCGGCUAGUUUUCAA
rnacentral:lncRNA from 1 species